GAUGAAGAACGCAGCGAAAUGCGAUAAGUAAUGCGAAUUGCAGAAUUCCAGUGAGUCAUCGAAUCUUUGAACGCACAUUGCGCCCUUUGGCAUUCCGAAGGGCAUGCCUGUUCGAGCGUCAUUAUCACCUCUCAAGCCCCUCGGGUUUGGCCUUGGAGGUCGGUUGGGCUUCGCCCGACCCCUCCCAAAGACAAUGACGGCGGCUUUGUCUGACCCCCGGUACACUGAGCUUCUUAACCGAGCACGUACCGGAACGAGGGUCGGCGGGUCACGGUCUCCUCCCUUUGCAGGGAAAUUUUCUCAGGUUGACCUCGGAUCAGGUAGGGAUACCCGCUGAACUUAAGCAUAUCAAUAAGCGGAGGA
rnacentral:misc_RNA from 1 species